GGGAGGAGGUGCGGGGGUCUGAGGAACCGCUUCAGGGACAGCUUCUUCCCCUCUGCCAUCCGAUUUCUGAACGGACCAUGAACCCACUGGUGAACAUAACCACCCGCAUUAACUUGGGGAGAGGAAGACACAGAGGUGGACGUGAAGAACAACUCAAUAGAGUCUUCUCAGCAACAUUGGCAGCAGCAGUGUGCAUUUAAAGGUAACCAAGAGAAACCGCCCUGAAGCUCUGCCUUUGAAACCUGGAUCACAAACCUAAUUGAAAAGGGGCUGUGGACAAUUCUGAUUUGAUGGAGAUGGAUGUGAAAGCACAGAGGAACAUCUGGAAAAAUUUCUGAAACGCUCGUUCGCUGCUGUCGUUACUGUGUGGUCGGGAAUCUUUCGGAGGGUAGGCCUCAAAAUCCCCGGCUUUGCCUGCUGUUGGUAACCGAGAUGGAGGUCGAAUCGUUUGGAUAGAGAUGGCGCUCGGUACUCGGUGUCGGAGAGCUGAUCAGAGCUCGAAGUUUUCGGAUGACUCCGUGUCGGACCGUGGAAGGGAGAGUUUUUCUUCCUUCUCCCAUCUGCGUGAGAUGUGGGACAUUUGAGAGACUUUGAACUUUUACUGUGC